rnacentral:rRNA from 1 species
UGGGGAAUCAUGGUCAAUGGGGGAAACCCUGACGCAGCGACGCCGCGUGAGUGAUGAAGGCCUUCGGGUUGUAAAGCUCUGUCAGAGGGAAAGAAAGGGGUGUCAGAAUAAUACCCGACACCAUUGACGGUACCCUCGGAGGAAGCACCGGCUAACUCCGUGCCAGCAGCCGCGGUAAUACGGAGGGUGCAAGUGUUAUUCGGAAUCACUGGGCGUAAAGAGCACGUAGGCGGAUAGGCAAGUCAGAUGUGAAAGCCCGGAGCUUAACCCCGGAACUGCAUUUGAUACUGCUAGUCUUGAGUGUGGUAGAGGGGGGUGGAAUUCCCGGUGUAGAGGUGAAAUUCGUAGAUAUCGGGAGGAACACCAGAGGCGAAGGCGACCCCCUGGGCCAUAACUGACGCUGAGGUGCGAAAGCGUGGGUAGCAAACA